rnacentral:rRNA from 1 species
AGAGUUUGAUCCUGGCUCAGAUUGAACGCUGGCGGCAGGCUUAACACAUGCAAGUCGAGCGGGGAAGGGUAGCUUGCUACCUGACCUAGCGGCGGACGGGUGAGUAAUGCUUAAGAAUCUGCCUAUUAGUGGGGGACAACAUUCCGAAAGGAAUGCUAAUACCGCAUACGCCCUACGGGGGAAAGCAGGGGAUCUUCGGACCUUGCGCUAAUAGAUGAGCCUAAGUCAGAUUAGCUAGUUGGUGGGGUAAAGGCCUACCAAGGCGACGAUCUGUAGCGGGUCUGAGAGGAUGAUCCGCCACACUGGGACUGAGACACGGCCCAGACUCCUACGGGAGGCAGCAGUGGGGAAUAUUGGACAAUGGGCGCAAGCCUGAUCCAGCCAUGCCGCGUGUGUGAAGAAGGCCUUUUGGUUGUAAAGCACUUUAAGCGAGGAGGAGGCUACUUGGAUUAAUACUCUAGGAUAGUGGACGUUACUCGCAGAAUAAGCACCGGCUAACUCUGUGCCAGCAGCCGCGGUAAUACAGAGGGUGCGAGCGUUAAUCGGAUUUACUGGGCGUAAAGCGUGCGUAGGCGGCUUUUUAAGUCGGAUGUGAAAUCCCUGAGCUUAACUUAGGAAUUGCAUUCGAUACUGGGAGGCUAGAGUAUGGGAGAGGAUGGUAGAAUUCCAGGUGUAGCGGUGAAAUGCGUAGAGAUCUGGAGGAAUACCGAUGGCGAAAGCAGCCAUCUGGCCUAAUACUGACGCUGAGGUAC